rnacentral:rRNA from 1 species
CACUCACAGAGAUAAUUGUGAGUACGACCUGCUCAAUGAAUAAUUAAAUAGCCGCAAUUUAUGCGCUAAGGUAGCAUAAUCAUUUGUCUCCUAAUUAGGGACUUGUAUGAAAGGUUAAACAUUCAACUUCUAUUUCAAAUUACAAAAUAUUAAUCUAUUUCAAAUAUAAAAAAAUAUUUAUAAAAAAAAAAGACGAUAAGACCCUAUCAAACUUUUACUAAAGUUCAGCUGGGGCAGCUACUUAAAAAAAAUUCAAUCGUUAUCAUCUUUCACAUCCUUAGACCUGUUUUAAACAACAAUCAGAUCAAGUUACUGUAGGGAUAACAGCGCAAUAAUUUUCCAAAGCUCAUAUUCAAAAAAAAGAUUGCGACCUCGAUGUUGAAUUAAUUUUAUUCUAUUAGAUGCAACCACCUAAUAAGUAGGUCUGUUCGACCUUUAAAAAAUUACG